CAGCCGCCACGGUAAUGCGAAGGGGGCUAGCGUUGUUCGGAUUUACUGGGCGUAAAGGGCGCGUAGGCGGGCGAAUCAGUCAGGGGUGAAAUCCCAAGGCUCAACCUUGGAACUGCCUUUGAUACUGUUUGUCCUGAGUUCGAGAGAGGUAAGUGGAACUGCGAGUGUAGAGGUGAAAUUCGUAGAUAUUCGCAAGAACACCAGUGGCGAAGGCGGCUUACUGGCUCGAAACUGACGCUGAGGCGCGAAAGCGUGGGGAGCAAACAGGAUUAGAUACCCGAGUAGUCCCUGUCUCUUAUAC
rnacentral:rRNA from 1 species